UGCUUGUGGAGGGCUGCUGUCACCUGUCACCACUGCUGGACAGAUGAUUUAAACACUGACAUUACAAGUGGUCCAGCCACUUCAUAACCCUGCACUAAAGACGCUGGAGCUUGUGAUCACCGGGGUCAUGAGGAGGAGGAAUGGCAUCGCCCUAACAGAACUCAAGAGCCUUUGCCAUUGUCUGUGGUAUUAAGCAGGUUUCAGUUAGGAUUUUAGGUGGAUUUCUGCUUUGUUCUACGCAAGUUUUAAUCAAGGCAGAAAAACUCUCCUCACUCUCCUCACAACAGUCAGUCACUAAGGCUUUGCAUUUUUCUUCCUGAAGCUUCCCCUCCCUCGGGCACAUUUUUAGCAAAAAAGAUGUGAUUCCCAAGCUCUCCAGAUGUUGCCUCUCAGAUGUGCCUCAGCACGCAUCUCGGAGCCAUCUGGCCACAGCAACAGCUGGACUGCUUCCAAGUGGAAGUGCUCACAGAACAACCAUGCAACAGCCACUGGCCACACUGACAGAGAAGCUGAUAACUAAUCAGAGUCAAACUGAGCCUAUCAACCCUUUUCCAUGUCCACAAAGAUAAACAUGAGCGAGCCUGAGAUAAAACACCACGGAGUGCACUUCCCUGGGACCAUUUUGAGAGCUUUGGACCUCUGGGAACACAGAUGUGACCCAGCAGGAUGGCCACACCACCCACAGGGCAGUAGAGGUGGACAGCAAAUGCAGAGAAACUGCAUCAUAAAUGCCUGUAGCUCUUCCUGUGGGUGUGAGGAACCUGUCUCUCAACCCAGCUUGAAUGGGAUUUGUUUCUGCAGCAGGAAUAAUCCUAAGUCAUCCAUUCUGACGCCGGAGACUCAGCACUUUCAGGCAAGACUCCAUGUACACAUAUUCUGGGCUGGGGAGAUGGAACCCAUUUGAUAAGAAACUAUUUCAGCACCACUGAAAGCAAAGACAAUGAUGAUUAACAACACCCUUUCCUCCUGACUGAACUGCGAGUAAGCCAUCUCCCACCCUGGCCUGGCCUUCAGAGAGAAAACCAGGUGAGUGUGGUGGGGCAAGUCUGCAGUCCCAGCUAUUGAAAGUCUGAGGCAGGAGGAUCAUGAUUUCAUGGCCAGCUUGGGCUCUACAGGAAGAGAAUACAUAGCUGAUCUCAAUGGACACAUCUCAUAUUCUAUCCUCUAGCCUAGAUAGAUGGGUGAACAUGACUCAAAAUAUCUUUAAAGUAUUAGUUGAAAUCUUAUUAAUAUAAUUCUUCUCACAUCAUGCAUAUGAAAUAGAUUUCUUUACAUAC
rnacentral:lncRNA from 1 species